rnacentral:rRNA from 1 species
UACGGAGGGGGCGAGCGUUGUCCGGAAUCAUUGGGCGUAAAGGGCGCGUAGGCGGCCAGCGCAAGUCAGUUGUGAAAUCUCCGGGCUUAACUCGGAAAGGUCAACUGAUACUGCGCGGCUAGAGUGCAGAAGGGGCAACUGGAAUUCUCGGUGUAGCGGUGAAAUGCGUAGAUAUCGAGAGGAACACCUGCGGCGAAGGCGGGUUGCUGGGCUGACACUGACGCUGAUGCGCGAAAGCCAGGGGAGCGAACGGG